GCCUACUUGUUCUGGCUCAGCUGGUCAGAACAUGGUGCUGACAACGCCAAGGUUGCAGGUUCGAUCCCCGUAUAGGACA